AGGUCAAGCUACAAAGGGCGCAUGGUGAAUGCCUUGGCACUAGGAGCCGAAGAAGGACGCGAUAAGCUGCGAUAAGCCUUGGGUAGCCGCAAAUAGGCUGAGAUCCAGGGAUUUCCGAAUGAGGAAACUCACAUGGGUAACCCCAUGUAUCAUGCACUGAAUACAUAGGUGUAUGAGGGUAAACCCGGGGAACUGAAACAUCUAAGUACCCGGAGGAAGAGAAAGAAAAAUCGAUUUCCUAAGUAGCGGCGAGCGAACGGGAAAGAGCCCAAACCAGAAACUUGUUUCUGGGGUUGUGGAUAGAUCAUAAAAGAAGAGGUAUCUUAAUCGAAGAGGGCUGGAACGCCCUACCAUAGAAGGUAAUAGUCCUGUAGGUAAAAAGAGAAAACUUCGAGAUCUAAUCCAGAGUACCACGAGACACGUGAAACCUUGUGGGAAGCAGGGAGGACCACCUCCCAAGGCUAAAUACUACCUAGUGACCGAUAGUGAAGCAGUACCGUGAGGGAAAGGUGAAAAGAACCCCGGAAGGGGAGUGAAAUAGAACCUGAAACCGUGUGCCUACAACCGAUCGGAGCACGUUAAAGUGUGACGAUGUGCUUUUUGUAGAACGAGCCAGCGAGUUA
rnacentral:rRNA from 1 species